UACGUAGGUGGCGAGCGUUGUCCGGAAUUACUGGGUGUAAAGGGCGUGUAGGCGGGUUCUUAAGUCAGAUGUGAAAUCCCGGGGCUCAACUCCGGAGCUGCAUCUGAAACUGGGGAUCUUGAGUGCUGGAGGGGAAAGUGGAAUUCCUAGUGUAGCGGUGAAAUGCGUAGAGAUUAGGAGGAACACCAGUGGCGAAGGCGGCUUUCUGGACAGCAACUGACGCUGAGGCGCGAAAGCCAGGGGAGCAAACGGGAUUAGAUACCCGUGUAGU
rnacentral:rRNA from 1 species